rnacentral:tRNA from 1 species
GCGGAUAUAGUUUAAUGGCAGAAUACGUCCUUGCCAAGGAUGUGAUCGGGGUUCGACUCCCCGUAUCCGCA